rnacentral:rRNA from 1 species
GACGAACGCUGGCGGCGUGCCUAAUACAUGCAAGUAGAACGCUGAAGAGAGGAGCUUGCUCUUCUUGGAUGAGUUGCGAACGGGUGAGUAACGCGUAGGUAACCUGCCUUGUAGCGGGGGAUAACUAUUGGAAACGAUAGCUAAUACCGCAUAACAAUGGAUGACACAUGUCAUUUAUUUGAAAGGGGCAAUUGUUCCACUACAAGAUGGACCUGCGUUGUAUUAGCUAGUAGGUGAGGUAAUGGCUCACCUAGGCGACGAUACAUAGCCGACCUGAGAGGGUGAUCGGCCACACUGGGACUGAGACACGGCCCAGACUCCUACGGGAGGCAGCAGUAGGGGAUCUUCGGCAAUGGGGGCAACCCUGACCGAGCAACGCCGCGUGAGUGAAGAAGGUUUUCGGAUCGUAAAGCUCUGUUGUAAGUCAAGAACGGGUGUGAGAGUGGAAAGUUCACACUGUGACGGUAGCUUACCAGAAAGGGACGGCUAACUACGUG